UGGGGAAUAUUGGGACAAUGGGGGAAACCCUGAUCCAGCAACGCCGCGUGGGGGACGAAGGCCUUCGGGUCGUAAACUCCUGUCAGUAGGGGAAGAAUGUCUCUCGUUCAAUAGGCGAGAGGCUUGACGGUACCUGCAGAGGAAGCCCCGGCUAACUCCGUGCCAGCAGCCGCGGUAAUACGGAGGGGGCAAGCGUUAUUCGGAUUUAUUGGGCGUAAAGGGCGCGUAGGCGGCCUGAUAAGUCAGAGGUGAAAGCCCUCGGCUCAACCGAGGAAAAUGCCUCUGAAACUGUCUGGCUCGAGGCUGGGAGAGGACAGCGGAAUUGCCUGGUGUAGCGGUGAAACUGCGUAGAUAUCAGGAGGAACACCCGUGGCGAAGGCGGCUGUCUGGACCAGUUCUGACGCUGAGGCGCG
rnacentral:rRNA from 1 species